CCUGGACUUCCUGUCCCUUCCAGUGCCCCUGAGGAAGAGCUGCAGAGAGGAAGAAUUGGCCGUAAAAGGAAUUUACAUGGAUUGGAAGGUAGAGGGAAGAGGCAGCCUUGGCUGUCUAUGGGAGUAGUGGCGGCAUUUGCAAAUGGAAAGUGGAAACUGCCCAGUGUGCGCCCCACCUGAACACCAACUCCAGCUCCUCGUCAU
rnacentral:lncRNA from 1 species